GCACCAGUAGUACAGCGGUAGAAUAGUACCCUACCACGGUACAGACUCGGGUUUGAUUCCCCUGCUACUGCU
rnacentral:tRNA from 1 species